UGAGCCGACUGGGCAGUCGCGCGCGGCAGUGCAAAGUGCCGCGUGAGGAAAGUCCGAGCCCCACAGAGCAGGAUAACGGCUAACGGCCGCCGAGGGUGACCUUAGGGAAAGUGCAACAGAGAAAUACCGCCAGCCUGGAAUCUGGUAUUCAAGACUGGUAAGGGUGGAAAGGCGAGGUAAGAGCUCACCGGUGCGCGGGGAACCGCCGCACCCUGUAAACCCUAUCCGGAGCAACACCGACCGGGGUGCGCCGCAGGGCGCAGCGCUUGCUCGGCGUAUUCCCCAGCGGGUGGCAUGACCGCCGCCAGCAAUGGCGCGGCAAGAUAGAUGAUUGCCUUCAACGACAGAACUCGGCUUACAGGUCGGCUCAUACC
rnacentral:RNase_P_RNA from 1 species